UUGGAUAGUAAUAGUAAUCAAAAGUGCUUGGGGCUGUUUAUGUAGCAAAAAAUUUCGUCUGUUAUUUUUGUUUUUCACUAUUUCCCUUUUUAGAACUUGAAGGUUUGGGAGAGCUCUUGGAACAGAUCAAUGAUGCUGAUAGGGAGACUCAGAAUCCGGAGGUGGGGUCCUCAAAUGAGGACUCCAUAACGCUGACGUUAUCUCCAGCAGUUGUGGAAGAGCCUGUUCAGUUGAUAGGUGAGCUAGCUCAAGAUGAUUUGAAUGAGGGGUCUUUGGAGCCUAUGUUCGCGCUUCCGCCACUUAUUGUCCCAGAAUGCGAACCGUCAACAUCCGGGGUCGUAUUUGAGAGAGUGAAAAAUGAAGUAGAUACGUUAAUAGAAAGCCUGUUUAAAGAAGACGAAGAGGCUGGAACGGAAAUUUCGAAAAAAGAGGUAGUACCAGAAGAUCCACAUGAAGUGCCGGUAGGGGUUAAGAGAAAACGGGGUGUCAACCAGGGAAAAAUGGUGAAGUUUGCCAAAAAAAUAAAAUUUGAAGAAGAAGCGGAACCAAAAACCCAUAAGGUACGCGAUUCUAGGCGCAAAGGAAACAAAAUCGUCACCCACAACUCCUAUCAGGCUGUAUGGCAUGAUACUCGAACAGCCAUAGAUGAUUUUUGCCCGUCUCUGCGUUGCUUUUUCUAUAAUUCUAACUUUUGGAGGAUGAGGGAUGAUCUGGAGGAAGCCUUGAAAACUGUAAACGAAGGGGGGGAGAUUUCGAAAGUUUCAAAAGUGAGAAUUAAUAAAAAAUUCCAAAAUUACUUCAGUUACUCGUACCAAAGUUACCUGGAGGUACGCAAAAAUAUCUUGGAAACUCGUCCAACGUAUGAAGAGGGUAGAAAGUGGCUCCCCUCUCGCACUUGAAGAAGCCAGUUUUUUUUCUUCUUUUUUUUUUGAAGAAAAAAAAAUUUUGUAUUCAUG